GGGUAUCUGAGGAGAGGUUGUCUGUGAUGAGUUCGCUUUAUUAAUGACGAAUAUAACACAGAUGGCCUGUUUUCAGUACC
rnacentral:pre_miRNA from 1 species